GGUGGCAAGUUCAAGGCCAUAGCAGAAGUGCUCAUGGCGCAGCCUGUCAGAUUCCUAUGAAUUUAUGAAUUCUGCU
rnacentral:ribozyme from 1 species